rnacentral:rRNA from 1 species
UACGUAGGGGGCUAGCGUUGUCCGGAUUUAUUGGGCGUAAAGAGCGUGUAGGCGGUUUGGUAGGUCCGCUGUGAAAACUCGAGGCUCAACCUCGAGACGCCGGUGGAAACCAUCAGACUAGAGUCCGGAAGAGGAGAGUGGAAUUCCUGGUGUAGCGGUGAAAUGCGCAGAUAUCAGGAAGAGCACCCGUGGCUAAGGCGGCUCUCCAGUACGGUACUGACGCUGAGACGCGAAAGCGUGGGGAGCGAACAGG